GACGAACGCUGGCGGCGUGCCUAAUACAUGCAAGUCGAACGCUGAAGAGAGGAGCUUGCUCUUCUUGGAUGAGUUGCGAACGGGUGAGUAACGCGUAGGUAACCUGCCUUGUAGCGGGGGAUAACUAUUGGAAACGAUAGCUAAUACCGCAUAACAAUGGAUGACACAUGUCAUUUAUUUGAAAGGGGCAAUUGCUCCACUACAAGAUGGACCUGCGUUGUAUUAGCUAGUAGGUGAGGUAAUGGCUCACCUAGGCGACGAUACAUAGCCGACCUGAGAGGGUGAUCGGCCACACUGGGACUGAGACACGGCCCAGACUCCUACGGGAGGCAGCAGUAGGGAAUCUUCGGCAAUGGGGGCAACCCUGACCGAGCAACGCCGCGUGAGUGAAGAAGGUUUUCGGAUCGUAAAGUUCUGUUGUAAGUCAAGAACGGGUGUGAGAGUGGAAAGUUCACACUGUGACGGUAGCUUACCAGAAGGGGACGGCUAACUACGUG
rnacentral:rRNA from 1 species